rnacentral:rRNA from 1 species
GAUGAACGCUGGCGGCGUGCCUAAUACAUGCAAGUCGAGCGGACAGACGCGAAGCUUGCUUCUCUGAUGUUAGCGGAGGAGGUGUGAGUAACACGUGGAUAACCUACCUAUAAGACUGGGAUAACUUCGGGAAACCGGAGCUAAUACCGUAUAAUAUUUUGAACCGCAUGGUUCAAAAGUGAAAGACGGUCUUGCUGUCACUUAUAGAUGCAUCCGCGCUGCAUUAGCUAGUUGUUAAGGUAACGGCUUACCAAGGCAAGGAUGCAUAGCCGACGUGAGAGGGGGAUCGCCCACACGGGAACUGAGACACGCUCCAUACGCCUAAGGGAGGCAGCAGUAGCGAACCUUACGCAAUGGGCGAAAGCCUGACGGAGCAACGCCGCGUGAGUGAUGAAGGCCUUCGGAGCGGAAAACUCUGUUAUUGGGGAAGAACAUAUGUGUAAGGAACUGUGCACAUCGUGACGGUACCUAAUAAGAAAGCAACGGCUAACUACGUG